rnacentral:misc_RNA from 1 species
GGAAGUAAAAGUGUAACAAGGUUUCCGUAGGUGAACCUGCGGAAGGAUCAUUAAAGUUAUAGUCCCCCGGCCCUCUGGGCUGGGGUCUUCUAUACCACCCUUUGUUUAUUACACCUUUGUUGCUUUGGCAGGCCUGCCCUCGGGCUGCUGGCCCCGGCUGGUAAGCGCCCGCCAGAGGACCCAAAACCCUGAAUAUUAGUGUCGUCUGAGUACUAUAUAAUAGUUAAAACUUACAACAACGGAUCUCUUGGUUCUG